AAAAGUCUCAUUCCAGUUGGUGCCUGCCUGGUGUCACAGAUCAGUGAGUCUGUGACUGGAGGCAUCUCACAUAUUUAUGGGAGACUAGA